rnacentral:rRNA from 1 species
GACUACUGGGGUAUCUAAUCCUGUUUGAUACCCACACCUUCGCAGUUUAGCGUCAAUAACGGCUUAGAAGACUGCCUUCGCCUUCGGUAUUCCUCCUGAUCUCUGCGCAUUCCACCGCUACACCAGGAAUUCUGUCUUCCCCAACCGCAUUCCAGAUAAACAGUAUCUCCUGCCUUACGACGGGUGAGCCGUCGCCUUUGACAAAAAACUUAUCUAUCCGCCUACCUGCCCUUUACGCCUAGUAAUUCCGGACAACGCUUGCAACCCCCGUGUUACCGCGGCUGCUGGCACGGAGUUAGCCGUUGCUUAUUCAUAUGCUAAUAUCGCUCCUCUCAUGCUAUUCACAUAAAAGGCAUUGCUCACAUAUAAAAGAACUUUACACCCCGAAGGGCUUCUUCGUUCACGCGGCGUCGCACUAUCAGCCUUUCGGCCAUUGUAGACUAUUCUCGACUGCAGCCCCCCGUAGG